CGGACCGCUCUCCGAGUGCAAGACGCGCGGGCUGCUGAAGGCGCCCCGCGGGUCUGGUCUGGGCCGAGGAACUCCGGGACGGCGCCGCGGCCGGGCUGCGAAUCUCUCCGCCCCUGCCCUUCAAAUCACCUCUAGGCACAGCUUCUGCUCCGCUCUCACCUGGGGUCGAGCCUGGUAGGCGCGGAGGCAAGGGCCGAGACGCCGGGCCGCACCCCGGCUGGGCUGGUACAUGAUCUUCCGGGAGUGGAGAGGGAGCCUCUGAGUCCGGCCUCCGGCCUCCUCACAGGGCGCUGUAUUCACAGCUGAGGCCUUUGAGCAAAAAGCUGAGCAAAAACGGCUGAAGCCUGAACCGGGUGCAACGACAGUGAGGGGUGAGGUGGCUGAAAUAAUGAGUCAAGUUUUCCAAGCGCUCU